GGAUGAAGGUCUUCGGAUUGUAAACUGCUGUCGGCUGGGAAAAAAAGUCUCCGAUUAAUAAUUGGAGAUCUUGAUGGUACCAGCAAAGGAAGCCACGGCUAACUCUGUGCCAGCAGCCGCGGUAAUACAGAGGUGGCAAGCGUUGUUCGGAUUUAUUGGGCGUAAAGGGUCCGUAGGCGGUUUGAAAAGUCAGAUGUGAAAGCCCACAGCUCAACUGUGGAACUGCAUUUGAAACUUUCAGACUAGAGUAUGAGAGGGGUUAAGGGAAUUCCCGGUGUAAGGGUGAAAUCUGCAGAGAUCGGGAGGAACACCAGUCGCGAAGGCGCUUAACUGGCUCAUUACUGACGCUCAGGGACGAAAGCUAGGGUAGCAAACGGGAUUAGAUACCCCCGUAGUCC
rnacentral:rRNA from 1 species